ACGCUCGACACCUACGGGGGGCAGCAGUGGGGAAUAUUGCACAAUGGGGGAAAACCCUGAUGCAGCGACGCCGCGUGAGUGAAGAAGUAUUUCGGUAUGUAAAGCUCUAAUCAGCAGGGAAGAAGAUGACGGUACCUGAGUAAGAAGCCCCGGCUAACUACGUGCAGCAGCCGCGGUAAUCUGAGCGGCUGGCAAGGC
rnacentral:rRNA from 1 species